rnacentral:rRNA from 1 species
ACUCCUGCGGGAGGCAGCAGUGGGGAAUUUUGGACAAUGGGCGAAAGCCUGAUCCAGCAAUGCCGCGUGUGUGAAGAAGGCCUUCGGGUUGUAAAGCACUUUUGUCCGGAAAGAAAUCCUUGGCUCUAAUACAGUCGGGGGAUGACGGUACCGGAAGAAUAAGCACCGGCUAACUACGUGCCAGCAGCCGCGGUAAUACGUAGGGUGCGAGCGUUAAUCGGAAUUACUGGGCGUAAAGCGUGCGCAGGCGGUUUGCUAAGACCGAUGUGAAAUCCCCGGGCUCAACCUGGGAACUGCAUUGGUGACUGGCAGGCUAGAGUAUGGCAGAGGGGGGUAGAAUUCCACGUGUAGCAGUGAAAUGCGUAGAGAUGUGGAGGAAUACCGAUGGCGAAGGCAGCCCCCUGGGCCAAUACUGACGCUCAUGCACGAAAGCGUGGGGAGCAAACAGGAUUAGAAACCCGAGUAGUCCCAUGA